GUCUCUGCGCAGACCUGCGUAACCCUUCGGCUUCGGGGCGCGGGCUCUGCGGCGUCGCUCCCACUGGCUGGGGGCGCUUGGCAAGGCCGACUUUCUCAAGUGUCCCUGGCGGCCCGGGGCGAGAUGGGGGCAGAUCCUCUCGGAAGCAGGACGCGCAAGCGUCUGUCUGUCCAUCCGGCCAGAGACAAGGUCGCCGCAACCUCUAGAGCAGUUUCAACUUUCGCCUGACUCUGGCGUCUUGACGUCACGGCCCUGACACACAGCUAGGUCUGCAGAGAAGAUCAAGCGUUUCCGCGCCGCUCUUUCGAACUUCCAGGGCCACUGGGUUCUGGCCCGAGCCAUCGGAGGCUUGGACGUGCAGGCUCGGCCCAGGAGCCUCAGGACGCAGCCAGGUUCACCCGGCACCACUACCGCAUCGCACCCUGCCAGCCCAGCUGCCUCUGACGCCUGAGGCUGAGGAUCCAGAGGAAGGCUCUAGGAGCCAGUCCCCACAGAAGACCCCAGAACCUCGCGCGGGUUCCUUCGGGAAACCGAACCCAGGACCAAACUAGGGGAGGGAGGAGAGGAAGAGUGUGGUGUGCGUGAGUGUGGCGGAGAGCUUCCAGAAGUCGAUCAGGUCCGGGAGGGCGCACUCCGACCCGAACAGAGUCUGUGACGGCGAUAGAAACCAGGUUAUUUGCUCCUGGCGCAUUCCACUCGCUGGAGCCUGCAAAUGUGUCCCGGAGCAAAAGGAGUCAGGUCCCUAGGGCCUCCCGCGUGGAGUGAGGGUAAGGGAGUGAGUCCGGGAUGACAUGUUCUUCAGGAGCGUAGGAGCCAGACCCCACCUUCCAACACCUUGAGGUUAUGAGGUCCAGGAAAUCACUGCGUUAAGUGCACUCUGGUGGGUGGGGGGCUGGGGGUGGGAAGAGAGGACCGCAGCCAGAUCCUUCAAGGGGACAGCCAGGUGCCUCCUUCCAGAGCGCCCUUGGAUUAAAUUUUACAGAAGUUAUUUUAAAUCUCAAAUGAGAUGAACUACAGAAUCAGCCUAGCUUUCCGGGGCAAUGGUCCAGACGGCCUUCUUCCUUCUUGAAACCAAGCCACUGUGAGAUUCCCUCACUCGGGUGUGAGUGAGCCUGCAGCAGCCAAGGGUCCAGCCGAAGGUUCCGACUGCGGAACCCAGAGCUCUCCCGCUGGUGUGUAAGGAACCUCGUUUUCUCAGGAGGGGGGAGGACACAUCCGGGAGACCAGCCCAACCGGAGAAACCUGCCCACCCCUACAGCAGGCACCUCUCCAUCCACUUUCCUCCUGUCCAUAGUCCAACAGGUCGGAGGCCCCACACAGCCUUUCUUCUGGUGCGAGGCUGGGGUGCACACGUGAGCGAGUGUGUCUGGAGGGCAAUGGAGCAAUGUGCUGGAGCAGG